rnacentral:rRNA from 1 species
AACGAACGCUGGCGGCAUGCCUAACACAUGCAAGUCGAACGAAGGCUUCGGCCUUAGUGGCGCACGGGUGCGUAACGCGUGGGAAUCUGCCCUUUGGUUCGGAAUAACAGCUGGAAACGGCUGCUAAUACCGGAUGAUGACGAAAGUCCAAAGAUUUAUCGCCAGAGGAUGAGCCCGCGUUGGAUUAGGUAGUUGGUGGGGUAAAGGCCUACCAAGCCGACGAUCCAUAGCUGGUCUGAGAGGAUGAUCAGCCACACUGGGACUGAGACACGGCCCAGACUCCGACGGGAGGCAGCAGUGGGGAAUAUUGGAGGAUGAGCGCAAGCCUGAUCCAGCAAUGCCGCGUGAGUGAUGAAGGCCCUAGGAUUGUAAAGCUCUUUUACCCGGGAAGAGAAUGGCUGUACCGGGUAAAGAAGCCCCGGCUAACUCCGUG